rnacentral:lncRNA from 1 species
GCACCACAAUUUAACCCUAAACCCUUUCUUUCUUCACCUCAGUCCCAAAAUUCCCCUCUUCCUCUCCUUCCACUACCGUGUACCUCAAUUUCAAUUUCCACCUGAGCAAGAGUUCAUGCCUUUCUUUUUCCCAAUUUGUUUUGAUUAUAUCGUUUAGGGUUCGAAAAUUAAAACCCCCAAGUGCUAGAAAUUAUUCGUUCACGGUUACCCUCAAAGACACUCUCAACGGGCUGUAUAUAUCUUCAAUUUAGAUUUAAUUGUUAUGCUUUGAUUUGAUUCAGGCUGAUGCACUUCGUGAGAGAUUCGAUGCGAACAAAGAACGUGACACCAUCUCAGGAUGCAACAGAAGGAACACGAACGAGCAUUGAUGCAACAGAAAGGGCGACAUGGGGCGUCGGUUCAGAAUGACAGAGGAUAUUCAAGAAGUGUGUAGCUUCACAUCCAGACACACAAAUGUUGUUCUUUAAUGGUGGGUUGAUGAAGUUAAUUUCAGAUGCAUCAUGGGUACUUACACAAGAAUUUGUGGAUAAACAUGCAAUAGAUUAUGUGGCUCACGAUUCUCUUUCGUAGGCUUCUAAAACUCGGAUUUUAGAGAUGAACAAAAUUUUUGAGUUCGAGUUACCCAACUAAGUUUGGAAACAAAGAUUUUGAGUUUGAGUUACCCAAAGAAGAAGCGGAUGAUGGCAGCGAUGAUGACACAUAUAUGAUUUAGAAUUAUUACAUUUUAUAUGUCAUGUAAUUUAAUGACGUGUUGUGUUUGUGACUUAAAACAAACGUGAAAUUACGUUUUUGACAUUUAUGUAGUUUAUAUCUAUUUAGUUUUUGUGUGCCGUAAACCG